rnacentral:lncRNA from 1 species
AUAAGUUUGAAUUCAGGAUAAAGUACAUAGAAUGAAGACAGAAAAAAAUACAAAUAAAUUAUGAAAAGCAAAGAAUAAAAACAAGAUAAAUACUUAAGAAACAGGAGAAAACCUUAUUACUUACACUAUAGGGGUCCUGUGCAAUGCUUCCUACACAUUAAUGUUAAAAUGUAGAUUAUUCAGUAGGUAUAAGGUGAAACCUUAGAUUUUAUAUUUCUAAGAGCUUCCAGAUGACAUCAACUCUGCUCAUGCAGAAAAACAGUGGGAUAUAAGAUAGCCAAGACAGCUUGUAAACUGACUGUAGACAGUGCUAAAAAUCAUGUCAAGAAAUUCAUCCUCUACCACUGAAGCCAGGUGAUUUCAACUUGUGCCCUAAAGAUCCCUGAAGGAGAAAAGAACUGCUGGUAUCCCAACCUCAACGCAGCAAGUUUAUUUUAUGUGUUUUACAUGAUGUCCUGACCCAAAAGCUGGUUUUUUAACAACAAGAUUCACAAGACGAGAAAAUAUUUUAAAAAUAUGGAUUGACUGCUUGGAGAAAAUUUAAAAUCUUUUGAGCAGCACUGACUUUGAAGUGGAAGGAUAUAAGCAGUGGGAGCUGAAGUUAUUCAGAUACACAGAGCAAGGCCUUCGGACGAGAGCUUUGAUGAGUCCUGAAGCAACUGAAGUCAUGAAUACGCAUAAGUUAUAACUUACAAGGCAAGCUAUUUGGGACAGAAGAUAAGGCAUCCACUUCUUAGGAAAAAUGAGCUACGCGCUCUACGGUGUCUGGGGCAACAGAGAUGAGAAGGGUAGCUGGAGCUCAUUAACAACAGAGUGUUAAGAGUAAAGAUUUACAACCUCUUGAUGCCAACAUCUCUACCUAACUUCAAUUUCCCAUUUUGAUACCUUGGUUCCUGCUCUCUCACAAUGCCUUAUUCUUUGGAUCUCAAGGCCUGACUCAUCUUUAUUACCGCUUUAGCAUUUGCACCCUUAUAAUAAAUCAUUAACUCUGGAG